AAUUGUUUUGCCCAUUGAAUUUAAAAGGCUGCAGUAUAUUAACUGUACAAAGGUAGCAUAAUAAAUAGUUUUUUAAUUGAAAACUUGAAUGAAAGAAUUGAUAAAAUAUAAAUUGUCUCAAGUAUUGAAAUUAAAUAAAAAGUAAAAAUGCUUUUAUUUAAUUAUUAGACGAUAAGACCCUAAGAAUUUUAUUAAUAAAAUAAUUUUAAAAUUUUUGAAUAAAUUUGUUAAUUUUAUUGGGAGGAUAAUUAAAUUAAACUUUAAUUUUAAUUAAUAAUAAUAAUUAAAUUUAAUGAUAAUUUUUAUAGUUAUAAGAAAUAAUUACCUUAGGGAUAACAGCGUAAUAAUUUUGGAGAGUUCUUAUUGAUAAAAUUGUUUGCGACCUCGAUGUUGAAUUAAAAUGAAAUUUAAAUGUAGAUAUUUAAAAUUUUAGUCUGUUCGACUAUUAAAAUUUUAC
rnacentral:rRNA from 1 species